GUCUAUAAGCAAAAGAUUGGGGUGGAUCUGGGUUUGCAGUCCUUGGGCACACCCCAUACUUUGGGUAACCUUCGGUAGCAGCGUGUAUUGAGUUACGUCUCAGGAAGCCUACCAGCUGAGCACCUCACUGGGAGUAUUUUGUCUGAAACGGGCCUGUGCAGGGCUGACCUCAGGACUCCUCUGUGUGCAGAUUUCUGUUUACUAGUCCAUUCACUUAACCUAUCAAUGGACGUGCCAUUUACACUUCGAGAAGAAAGAAAAAUAUCAUCUGCUAACAACAUUUGACCACAAGUUAAGACGAAACAGAAACGGAACAUGGUGAUACAAGCAGAUGAAAAAAACCCAGGUGAAGAAAAAGAAGCCUGGAUUAGUUGAUUUUCUCAAGGUCACAGAGGAAGAACUGAGCCAAAGACUCAGGUCUGAAGAAAGGGGAUGCUGCCUAAAGGAGGCAAUUCUUGUGCAAUAAAUCCAGACUGCAAAUAAAGCAAGGCAAGAGGGAGGAAAAUCACAAUGCAAGAAGUUUCCUUUGUUUACUAUGUUUAAUUGGGAUUCCACACUUGAAUGAAGAAGAGAAGAGGUUCUCUCCCAGGGUGACUGGGAAGGCGAAAAAAGGUCUCCUUCCCAACGCACUCUGCCUUCUGCACUCAGAGGCUGAUGAGAACAAACAGGGAAGAGUAAAAACAACAGCUGCCGCAGCCUCGCUUCUUGUAGAGCUUCCUCUGAUGAGCUGUCCGCAGAACCUUCCUUGGGCUGGCAGGAAAGGGCAGGGCUGAAGGGGUGGGCUGGAGAAUUAGGUGGGGGCUGCAGCAAGGAGCAGGGUGUGGUGUUGUUGUUAUCAUUCCCAGCAACUCACGCCCUUCCUGAAAGAGGAUUACACAGCUUGUGGUGUCUCCUGUGGGGGAGUGCACACUGUACCUCGGACGUCAGGCUUGGGGAUGUGAGUACUCUGGCCACUGGCGUGUGGGAGACCUUGACUAUGUCUCAUCUGAGCAAAAGCUUUAAGAGUCUGCGAUGGACUGAAGGGUUGUUUUUCCCCAGAAUUCACAUACUAAAGCCCUACCCCGCCAGUGUGAUGGUAUUUGGAGGUACGGCCUUUGGGAGCUGAUCAAGUCAGGAGGAUGGGAUUAGUGUCCUUUUCAGAAGAGAUGCAAGAGAGACAGUCUCUUUCCAGCCAUGUGAGGACACAGUGAGAAGGUGGCUGUCUACGAGCCAGGAAGUGGACCCUCACCAGACACUGUAUCUGCUGGUACCUUGAUCUUGGACUCCCCAACCUCCAGACCUGGGAGAAAUAAAUGUUUGUAGUUUAAGUUA